rnacentral:rRNA from 1 species
AGAGUUUGAUCCUGGCUCAGAUUGAACGCUGGCGGCACGCUUAACACAUGCAAGUCGAACGGUAACAGGACUAAUACAUCCUUCGGGGUGUUGUGUCGCUGGCGAGUGGCGAACGGGUGAGUAAUGCAUAGGAAUCUGCCCAGUAGUGGGGGACAACUUCGGGAAACCGGAGCUAAUACCGCAUACGUCCUACGGGAGAAAGCGGGGGAUCUUCGGACCUCGCGCUAUUGGAUGAGCCUAUGUCCGAUUAGCUUGUUGGUGGGGUAAUGGCCUACCAAGGCUGCGAUCGGUAGCUGGUCUGAGAGGACGAUCAGCCACACUGGGACUGAGACACGGCCCAGACUCCUACGGGAGGCAGCAGUGGGGAAUAUUGGACAAUGGGCGCAAGCCUGAUCCAGCAAUGCCGCGUGUGUGAAGAAGGNCUUCGGGUUGUAAAGCACUUUCAGUAUGGAAGAAAAGCCGAGCAUUAAUACUGCUCUGUGCUGACGUUACCUAC